rnacentral:lncRNA from 1 species
UCAGACAUGUGUGUGCUUGGGCUGGUUGCUUCCUGUCAACUUAACACAAGAGAACUGCUUGGGAAGAGGAAAGGUCAAUGGAGGCAUUGCCUUCAACGGACAGUCUCGUGGGCAUGCCAGAGGGGGCAUUUUCUUAAUUGCUAAUUAAUGCAGAAGAAGCUAGCCCAUUGUAUGUGGUGCCAAUCCUAGGCAGUUGGGCCUGAGCUGUAUAAGUAACUAGGAAAGCUAAAGAGAGCUAGUAACCAGCAUUCUUCCAUGCUUCCCUGCCUCUUUACCUGCUUGAUUGAGUUCCUGACCUGGCUUCCCUCAGUGACCUACUGUGAUGGAGACAUGUACACCAUAUAAAUCCAUUCUUGCCAGUGUUGCUUUUGGACUCAAAGCCUUAGCUCAGAACCAAACAUGUCACAUGUGUAGGCUUCAAGGGCAGAGUGUUUCUAAAGGACCUGCAAAGCUGGCGAGGAAAACAGGUGUGGGUCAUUUGUGCUGUUCCCAGAGCUCAACCAAGGCCAAGCCUGGCAGAGGAGGGUGACAUAGACUGCUCACGUGUGACACAUACUUUCAAAUAGCUUCCUCCAUAAAUCCAGGCCCCAAAGGAGCCUCCCCAACUUCCCUUCCUUCUCCAUGUGGGGCAAGCAUCUGGUGAGAAGCUUCACCCUGACCCCCAGGUACCCUUCCUUCAGAGGUAUUCAUGAGUUCUUGGAACUUGAGCUAGGACUGGAAGUUCACUGCAAACCUGGGUCCUAAGCUAUAACUCAGGACAUUACUAGAAGGCUUGAGAAGCAAGACAGCCAGUUUGUGUUCUGUAUCAAGCUCUGGAGAAGGUUAGUUAGAGAAGUGAAGUUUGGAAGACUCACACCUAUGAUGUGUUUCAGAAGAUAAAAUCAUUAGUUUUAUACAGGAUAUGACAAUGUGCGGCUUACUGUGUAGAGGCCUGAGUAGCCAACUCAAGUAUACCAGCAUUUGACUUCUUGACGCAAUGCUGGUCCUGGCAUCUUGACCCCGAGGAACGCCGCUGGUGGCUGUUACUCAGAAGCCUAUGGGAACUGUGGGUGUGGGAUGGUACAGAAUGUCCCAGCCUGGCUGAACCUACUCCAGGUCACUCUGAGAUUGAAUUACCCAUACUCUGGGUCCCCACCAACUACACUAAGUUUGAUAAGGUAAUAGUUCUCACCUUCCAUGGGUUAGGAUUAUGCUCAGUUCUUGCUGUCUAAAACAUUCCACCAUGAAGGGUAUUUUCAUUGUGUAAUGUCCUACAGACUUGUGAAAAAUUAUUAGUGGUGAAAUUUUUCCUGGGAUAGUCCAUUUCCAACCCUGCGCCCGCCCCCCACAAGAGCAGAAUCUUAGCACUCUUUAAAGAUCAGGGUCUCCUUGAUGUGCUUCAUUUUUUCCUUUCCGAUCCUGGUGUUUUCAUAUCUAUGCUUCUCUUCCCAUGAACACAGGGCUGCCUCUGAGUGACAUCUGGAAUCGCUGUCUGCUUUGGGAAACUCUAAGUUAUAUAGUACUGUGGGCGGCAAAAGGAAGAGAGCUAAUUAUUACUUGUUGGAGUCUUGUCUCAGGUGUGUUGAGGAAUGUGCAAGGCUCACUGCUCUCUGCUGUUGUCAGUUUGAUGCUAUGCUCACAGACAACCACUAGAUCAGCAUGGCUGCAGAAAUAUUUGAGCACAAAAGACAUUUUUCAAACACUACUGUGGGGUGUGGAGGGCACCUGGCUGACUAAAGGGCUAUGGGGCAGGGCUGUCUACAUACGUGAUCACUGUCAAGUUUGCCAGACGUGGCAGAUAACUCCCUCCAUAGACACCCAGGACAUUCCUUUGAAAGUCAGGUAUCUAAGAAGAUGCCCUUGUCUACU